rnacentral:misc_RNA from 1 species
GAUGAAGAACGUAGCGAAAUGCGAUAAGUAAUGUGAAUUGCAGAAUUCAGUGAAUCAUCGAAUCUUUGAACGCACAUUGCGCCCCUUGGUAUUCCGAGGGGCAUGCCUGUUCGAGCGUCAUUAUAACCCCUCAAGCUCAGCUUGGUGUUGGGGCCUGCCGCACGGGCAGCCCUUAAAAUCAGAGGCGGUGCCAUCUGGCUCUAAGCGUAGUAAUUCUUCUCGCUAUAGAGUCCCGGUGGAUGCUUGCCAUUAACCCCCAAUUUUCUAUGGUUGACCUCGGAUCAGGUAGGGAUACCCGCUGAACUUAAGCAUAUCAAUAAGCGGAGGA